rnacentral:lncRNA from 1 species
AAACAAGUCGCAGGUCAUCAGCUCUCUGGAAUUCUUAGGAACAGGAUUCAUCACUCGGUGUUUGAUGUGAAGUCCCUUCAGCUCUCCAAGCCCCAGUGUCCUCGUGAAUCAAGCGGAGAUCAUCUUAAAGCCCUCAACAGGGACAAGUGUGAAGGAACCAGUAAGAGAAUGCUGAGAUCAGAAGCCUGGAUCCUGCCCAGCCCCAUCCCCGAUGGUCUCAUGCCAACCGUCAGGACCCAACGUUAUCCAGAGACUGGGCUCUAACCACAGCCUGGACUCCUCUAACCCUGGGCCCAGCCACAACCACUCUAGGACUUCUGCUUUGGAAAGCAGAAAGCUCAAGCCCCCGAAAAUAAAAGUCCUGGAAAUGUUCCCAGUUAGCAGACACUAGGUCUCCCCUAGUGACACAGAGAGAAG